UUCAUGAGAGACACAUGAAUGCCUCUCAGAGAGAGAGAGGCAAAGACAUAGACAGAGGGAGAAGCAGGCUCCAUGCAGGGAGCCUGAUGUAGCCCCAAGCUGAAGGUGGUGCUAAACCAUUGAGCCACCGGGGCUGCCCCAUCAGAUAUGUUUUAAAAUCACAGCUGUUAGAGCUAGAAAAAAAAUCUCAAAAGAUCAUUUCACUCCAUCCACGGGCUUUAUAAUAACAAGGUAUUGCUCUAUCCAUGUGAGCAUAGUGGCAGCCCCAGAAGGUUAGGGUCAGGUCUCUUGGCACACAGUAGAUUAGGAUCAAGAAGCAACAUGAAGUUAGAUAUCAGUUUCCAGUACCCUUGUACAGGCCUCUAACCACUGUGCCAAGCUGCUUUUCUUCUAAAAAUCAUUCUGUUUGGAGGAUUCAUGGUCAUUCCUAUAUGCAUUCUAGAUUUUUUGAGCAUGCUGUUUGUCUGGCAGUAUGUAGACAAGUAGAAUAAAUGAAGAAAACAAUAUAGUGUCAGUACUUGAGGAGCUCACAAUCCAGCAAGGAGAAAGUUAUCAUAAACAAUGAGCUAUAUAGUAAUUGCAUAGCAAGAGCAAAGUGCUAUGAGGACUAUAAAUUCUGCCAAGAAAGUAGGAAGAAGGUUUCACAGGUUAGUUAAGGCCCAAGGGAUGAGGAGGAAGUAUUCCAUGCAGAAGAAAUCAUGAGAACAAAGAUAUGGAUGUGAGUGGCAUGUUUGAGAAACAGCAAGCAUAAAGCGUGAAAGACAUUCCACAUCAAGAACAAGAGUCUUUGCUUUCACACAAACCUAAUAUGAUAAACUAUUCUCACAACUGUACACAUUUAAGUCAUCUCUGCAUCACACAAGCUUUCUAGAAAAGGACAUAACUACAUUAUCCUUAUCUUUAUAUAUGCUGUUAUCCUUGUCAGAAAAACUCUUCCUCUAUGCCAACUCCCUAAUGUCCCUCCUGGUAGAUCUCAGAUGUUACCACUUCUCCAUCCUCCGGAGGAAAGUUCAUUAUUCCUUCCUUUGUGCUCAAUUUUUUAUAUCUCUUUCUAGAGAGUAUUUUAAUUAUUUGUUUACAUACAUGUCUGUCACCCAAACAAAUCUGCGAAGGUUUCAAAGACAGUUUGCCUUCAGAAAUUGCAUGUUUGAUAAACAUAUGAAUGAACGAAUGAAUGACCUUUUAGAUGGAAAGCUAGGUGGUAAGGAUGACAGAUAAUGUAAAGUUCUCAAGAGAAAUAGACACAUACAUAACUUAUAUGUGGAAGAAUAAUGUUCAGAAUUGAAACCCCCCAGGGAAACAUUUCUACUUGAAUGAAGUCCAUAACUGUGAUCCAAAGAUUUUCACAUAUAAGUGUUUUGGCAUUGAUUUAAAACUCCACUUAGAUUCAUAAACUCAUAUCAUUUUCUUGUUAAAUUCUUAGAGCUCAUAAAGGGUGGCCUGAAAAAGUAGAUCUUUAGGUAUAACUUAGUCAUAUUAAACAGAAGUGUAAGGGGGAGAAAAUGACUGGUCUUUCUUUCAUCACUGGCAUGUAAUUCAUUAUAAAGGUGUUAAACUCAUUGGUAAGUGUGAAAAUGAGAGGAAAUGAGUCUACUGACAAAAAAAUGCAAUGAGACAGUAAACUAAAAUUAAUGCUUCACAAAUCCUUAGCUUCUCAGCCUCAUUGUCUCAAUUUGUUAUUCUCAUGAAUUAUCAAAGUGAAGCAUAGCCACUGCUCCUAAAAAUAAAGAUUUUAUUAAACUUCAUUAUGCACCACAUUGCCUGAAGACAUUGCCACUCCUUUGACCUCAUGAGCUUCUCAAGCUACUCAAUCACAGGGUUAAAGAAAUAUCUCAUUAGCAGUACCUGAUGUCAGCAGAUGGGUUAUUAAACUGCCUGUCACUCAAGCCCUCAAUACCAAAAAAUACCUAGGUCAUCCAAUCCUUUAUGCCACCUCCUUCUCUUUGCAAUAUAAUAGCAGAAACGGUAGUGCCUGGAAUUGUUAUAAAAAUAAUUCCAAAAACUUAGACAUUUCUGGGAUGUCUUUGAGUUGAUGGGAAAGAAGCUACUACCUGCCAGGCAAGCUGCUACACAUCAGUAAAAGAUGAUUGAUAAAUGAUACAUAGUAAUAGUCUGCUCAGACUGCCAUAACAAAACACUACAGACUAGGUGGCUUAAACAGCAGAAACUUACUUUCUCACAGUUU
rnacentral:lncRNA from 1 species